rnacentral:rRNA from 1 species
CCUACGGGAGGCAGCAGUGAGGAAUAGUGGUCAAUGGACGAGAGUCUGAACCAGCCAAGUAGCGUGAAGGAUGACUGCCCUAUGGGUUGUAAACUUCUUUUAUAUGGGAAUAAAAUGUUCCACGUGUGGGAUUUUGUAUGUACCAUAUGAAUAAGGAUCGGCUAACUCCGUGCCAGCAGCCGCGGUAAUACGGAGGAUCCGAGCGUUAUCCGGAUUUAUUGGGUUUAAAGGGAGCGUAGGUGGAUUGUUAAGUCAGUUGUGAAAGUUUGCGGCUCAACCGUAAAAUUGCAGUUGAAACUGGCAGUCUUGAGUACAGUAGAGGUGGGCGGAAUUCGUGGUGUAGCGGUGAAAUGCUUAGAUAUCACGAAGAACUCCGAUUGCGAAGGCAGUUCACUGGACUGCAACUGACACUGAGGCUCGAAAGUGUGGGUAUCAAACAGGAUUAGAUACCAGAGUAGUC